AUGGCCGCCGCGACGGUGGCCGCCGAGAUCGCCGCGCUCCCGGAGCCGCGGGGCCCCCUGCGCCGUCUCUGCGGAGACCUCGCGCGCCGUGUCCGCCUCCUCGCCCCGCUUCUCGACGACCCGUCCUCCGCGCCCGCGCCCGCUUCCUCGACCCCUCUCGCCGACGCCCUCCGCGCCGCGCGCGACCUCCUCCACUCCGUCAACCACGGCAGCAAGAUCUACCAGGCCACGCGAGGCCGGGACGGUCUCCUCCGCGACUUCGCCGCCGUCAACAGGCAGAUCCAGGAGGCGCUAGACCAGCUUCCCUACCACGCCUUCGACAUGCCCGAGGAGGUGCAGGAGCAGGUCGCGCUCGUGCACUCCCAGUUCAAGAGGGCCGCCGCGAGGGCCACGGCGGACCCGCCGGACGCGCAGCUCGCCAGGGACCUGGCCUGGGCGCUCGCCGGCGACAAGCCCUGUUUCCCCGCGCUCCUGGGGAGGGUCUCGGAGAAGCUGCAGCUGGAGACCAUGGCGGACAUGAAGAAAGAGUCCGUGGCUUUGCACGACAUGGUCAUUUCCAGCGGGGGCGAACCGGAUGGGUGCGUCGAGGAGAUGUCGUCCUUACUCAAGAGGCUCAAGGACUGCGUGAUCACUCAAGAGCCCGCGUCCGAGGCUCUCGCCGGCGGCAGGUCUUCCUCUAUAAAGCAUAGGUCUCCCAUCAUCCCGGACGAAUUCAGAUGCCCCAUUUCGCUCGAGCUCAUGCAAGACCCCGUCAUCGUCUCUAGCGGCCAGACGUACGAACGAUCCUGCAUCCAGAAGUGGCUUGAUUCCGGACACAAGACCUGCCCUAAGAUGCAGCUGCCCCUCACACAUACUUCCCUCACCCCAAACUUUGUCCUCAAAAGCCUGAUUGCGCAGUGGUGUGAAGCCAACGGUAUCGAGCUUCCCAAGAACAAAGCCAACUUCCAUGACAAGAAAGUGGUCAAAAGUUCAGACUAUGACAAUGCUGGUCUGGUCUCGCUGAUGAGUAGGCUGCGCAGUGUGAACCAGGACGAGCAGCGGGCAGCUGCAGGGGAGAUCCGGUUGCUCGCAAAGAGAAAUGUGAACAACCGCAUAUGCAUUGCUGAAGCGGGAGCGAUUCCCUUGCUCGUCAAUCUGCUCUCCUCUUCCGAUCCAAGAACGCAAGAACAUGCUGUCACGGCACUCCUUAAUCUCUCCAUCCACGAGAAUAACAAGGCAGGCAUCGUGGACUCCAAUGCUAUCCCUAAGAUAGUGGAAGUGCUGAAAACCGGGAGUAUGGAAGCCAGAGAGAAUGCAGCAGCCACACUAUUUAGCCUGUCAGUUGUGGAUGAGAACAAAGUAACUAUUGGCGCCGCUGGUGCGAUACCUCCACUCAUCAAUCUUCUGUGUGAUGGCAGCCCAAGAGGCAAGAAAGAUGCAGCAACGGCAAUUUUUAAUCUGUGCAUAUACCAGGGCAAUAAGGUCCGGGCGGUGAAAGCUGGAAUCAUCGUCCAUCUCAUGAACUUCCUGGUGGAUCCUACCGGGGGAAUGAUUGAUGAGGCACUCACUCUUUUGGCAAUUCUUGCCGGUAACCCAGAUGGCAAGGCUGUAAUCACGCAAUCAGAGCCAAUGCCCCCACUUGUUGAGGUCAUCCGAACUGGGUCUCCUCGCAAUAGGGAGAAUGCUGCAGCCAUUCUAUGGUCUCUUUGUUCUGCUGAUGCUGAGCAAAUCAUGGCUGCAAAGGCAGCUGGAGGGGAAGAUGCACUGAAGGAACUGUCAGAAACUGGCACAGAUCGUGCAAAAAGGAAAGCUUCUAGCAUCCUUGAACUCAUGCGCCAAAAGGAAGAGGCGUGAACCAGACACCAUAGUUUUGUUGAAAUCUGAGAACAGGAAAUUCUACAUUAGAGGAAGUGAAAAGGAGACCGGAAGUUGUUUUCUUCUUGGUCAGCUAUGUACUUUUGGGUGAUGCGUUGGGUGGCUUCAUUUGAAGUAAGCUCCUUCUCAGAAAACUCUUAUUACAUGUAGUUUCUAUUUUCAUCAUUCUUGUGGAAAAUCACAAGUACACCAUCUAUUACUAGGUUAAUGUAGCUUAGCUUCUUUAUAGUUUAGUCCCAUAUCAUGGAGCUAUAUAAUACUGUAUCAUCUAAUACAUCGAAACAACACUCUCUCUUGAUAAUUAAGUUGCGGUGCGACAGAAUAUUAGUCCAUUCUAGGCGAGUUAUAUAUAAUCAUCAUUUUCUGAGUCUACAUGUAAGGAAUCUUUUGUGGGCGGCGUAUUCGGUGCAUUGAGGACCACGGUGCAGUGUUUGUUUAAUUCACAUCAACUGCGGUAUAUGUUAGGAUUAAGAAAAAAAGAAAAAAAAGUACUUAAAAAAAUCCUGCAUUUUCCCUUUUGUGCAUCUAAGAUUUUCGCUAAUGUUGCAUACGUGGGUAGAGCAUAGAAUCAGACAGUAAACAGUUACUGACUUGCUAUUAUUCAAUGGAAUCAAACAAAGCGAUGGUGUCAUUGCAUAUGCAACUUAAUUUGUUUUGACCAUCUCAAGUUCUACAAAAGGAAACUGUUUGCAAUCUGAAGAUUCAGAACAGCUCUUGAACACUGAGCUGGCUAUAUGCUGGGGUGUGCAGAGAGAAGUGAAUAAUCCAUGAACUCAAAUCAGCAGUUCUGCUCUGAACAAAAUGUAGACAGAAGAUGGAAACCAUACAGUGAACCAACAAAGCAAGACGGUGCGGCACGUGGAUCGUGUCUCAUAAUUCGGUGGUGGAUACUUUGCAUUUGCAAGCUAUUAGUGCUUUAGAAGAAAUAAAAAGAACAAAGGUUCAAAGGGGCAAAACAUUAGAGAGUAGCGGCAAGAUGUGUCCACUUCACCAGCAGGAUAUAUAUCAUCACCAUAUUAUUAUGACAUCUGAAAUACACAACAUGUUGUGACCAUAACUGGAUGUCUAGGAAUGUCGUCCGCAGAAUGUAGUCUUUUCGGUCCACGUCAGUCGUGUCUUAGCAUUCUUUUAUUCUUUUUGAGAACUGUAGAAGAUCUGGUUCUUUAUGAGGGCAAUGAGCUUAUAUAAUAUUUUGUUGGGUAUCAUGCUGCCCAUGUGGGGACAAGUGUCCUGCAUUGGUUUCCCUGCAAUUACAGUCAAUACCAGCAGAAAGCCAUUUCCACUGCCUAAAAACACUAAUGGGACAAACUUCUUCAGCUGGCAUGGGGCACCAUGUUCCUCUGCGAAAAACAGGGUGGAUUGUUUGCAGCUCUUGCUAAGACCAUUGCUCUUCAACGGAAAUCUCUGAAGCAUUAGGUUGUGGUGAGUAAAACUGUAAAACAGAAUGUAAUUACUAGUUGUGCUCUGUUUCUAUAAGAAAUGACCAUCUACUUUUAGCCACCCAGGAAAGAUCAAUCCGCAGUUAUUGUUCGCAUCACUUAUACUGAACUUCUAUGCAUCUGUCUCAAUCCUCAGCCUUUUUGAUGCUAUUUUUAGGUUCAUUUGGUUUCAUGCCAUUUCAUCUAUGUAGCUACACAUUAUGCAUGGUACCUUGUAGGCUUGUAGCCUCCACAUCAUUUACUUAGUGAGACUAGAGCUGCACAAACAAUAAAAAAACCCAGCCAUCUCCCUACACUACAGUAUGUCAGUAUAGAGCACCAACAUGGAACAUGGAGUAGCCCAGGGGGUCUGUUUUCAUGCAUCUUCACAUGGCCAACACACUUCUGAGCUAAUCAUACGUGUCCAUGUCAUUUGCUCGCUUAAUCUAUCUAAUCUCAUAUGUCUUUGCCCCCCUUAGACCAAUAAUCAAUGACACUUCAUGCGUGAUGACUGAUGACACAGCUAAGAUCUAAUCCUCGCACUAAAACAAUCAAGCAAGUUGGCUGAAGAGAUCUAGAUGCUGGUCUGGUAGUAGUGUUCAACUCUGUACUUUGACCCCAACCGCAUGUACCUAAUCAAGAUUCCUGUAUUUGGCUACAGCCAGAACAUGCAUUGUGAUAUUAUUCUAUUUCCACAUGUGCUGUUAACUAGUGCUAAUUCCAGCUUAGCAAGGCGCUCCCCAUUGGCUCCGCGCAUCAUGUUGCUACAAUUAUAUGAUAGUAGAUGUCACUUACUAUUUAAUCUCUUCUCUUUGAUGAUAUCAAAGUGGAUCUGGAUUGGUUGCAGUUGCAAGUUGGGAGCAAAAUAUCAAUCGGAGCAGACCGUCCGAUUUGGAAAUCAAGGACCAAGAUCCAAUUCAGCAGCUUGGUUGUGACUGGAGAGAUCUGAUGGCCCACGUUUGAUCUUGUGCGAUGAUUAGUUGUUUCAAUGCCUUCCCUGACGACCUGUUUUGUCGCUUAGUUUGGAGUGAAUCCCUGUAUAUAAAGGCUAUGCAUAUGUGGGAGUAAGCUAUUUGUUGUUGUACCUGCUAGUUAGCUUCAUCAUCUGAACCUGAGAAGAAGAAUGGUGCACAUUGCCGACCCUGCGGGCGCUGUAGUGGUUGGUUGCAAGGUCCUGCCCAUCUUCAAUGAGAACGGCAUUGUCGACGGUGCGGUGAAGAAGAUUGUGCACAGGCUCGACGGGAAGAAGGCGGUCGCUCGGGUGAAGGAGCUCUUGAGGUGGGCCUCUCAGGUCAGGCCUCUCAGCACCAGCGCCAGUGGAAAGAAAUGGAAGCAGGUUCUGAGCUUCCCGGGUAGGGAUGGUGGUGGAACGAAGUGUGAUGAGGCGAGCUCUGGCAAGCUGAGCUUCAAGUGGGAGGCAGGCAGCUGCUCGUCGGUGGCAUCAUCGUCGGUGCUCUACUCGCCAGUGUCGUUCGCAUCUGCGCCAGCUGCAAGGACGACAACGGAGCAGCUGCACACCCCGUCGAGGAAUUACGUGUCGAGGUUGUCAUCGGUGAGCCAGAAGAGCUCAUCAUCGUCGCAGGCAUGCAGCCGGAUGGCACAGUGGAUCACCACGGAUUCAGACUUUGUGGUGUUGGAGCUGUAAGUUAGUGACAAUUAGGAGGAUGGAGGAGGCAGGAGGCAGGCGGCAGCAGCAGCAGGAGAGGGAAGGCAAGGCAUGCAUGUCUAUGUGGAGCUGAGAAUGGCAAAUUGUAUUAGCAAGCAUUAAGAGAUCGAGAUCUGAAGCUAAACUUAGUGUUAGUUAGGGGAGGAAGCUUAAGCUAGAUAGCAGAUGUGUGAGUCAGGCAGACAGAGAUGCAGUUGAUGAAGUUGACUAAAAUGUUGGCAGUUGCGAAAUUCAGUUUUAAGUGUAUAUAUAUGUUAUGUUUGCCUUGUGAUUGAUGAUCAAGAUGACUAGUA